CAAACUUAGAUCCGAAUUUCAAAGAGCUGUUAUUGAUGACUCCAGUAGCAUUUCCAUGAGUGGAAACUAUCUGUUCUGGGUACAGCACCAGAGAUUGCAAAAACUUCAGGAGUUUGGGCUUCAUUUUUAAAGCUUUACACAUGGGAUCUAACCAACUUACUGGAUGGUACCACUCCCUCCUCCCUAGUCAGAACUGGUCUUCAGAAGAAAGACAGAUAUCCUGAGAAUUGAGGAAGGCUGCAAUUUUCAGGCAUCAUGGUGAUAGUCUCAGGAAAGGAACAAGGAUACAAAGAAAUGUGUUGGUUUUAUCUGUUUGUGAAUGAGACCUUGGCCAAAUAUACUUCAAAAAGGAUACUUCUCUGUUAAUCUCUGCAUUUGUCUGCAAGCUGUCUGGGAAGAUGCCAGAAUCCUAUUACACACCCUUUUUGUGCCUUUAAGCAGUAAGUCCUUCAUUCUCUGCUGUACAAAUAGAUUGCACUUUUUGCAGCAAGCACACUUGUAAAAUACAAGCAUAUUUAUUUAAUAGUUUCAGUAAAAAAAAAAUAUCUCCCUUGAAAUGGGGAGAAAUGUGGUUUGGUUUGUUUUUUUUUUUUUUUUUACUGGAGGUUUUUGUUUGUUUGUUUUUCAUUUGACAUUACCUAGUAUGCCGCUGCCUUGAAGGGGUA